rnacentral:rRNA from 1 species
UACGUAGGUGGCAAGCGUUGUUCGGAAUUAUUGGGCGUAAAGGGUGCGUAGGCGGCGCGGUAAGUCGGGUGUGAAAUCUCGGAGCUUAACUCCGAAACUGCAUUCGAUACUACCGUGCUUGAGGACUGGAGAGGAGACUGGAAUUUACGGUGUAGCGGUGAAAUGCGUAGAUAUCGUAAGGAAGACCAGUGGCGAAGGCGGGUCUCUGGACAGUUCCUGACGCUGAGGCAGGAAGGUCAGGGGAGCAAACGGG